rnacentral:rRNA from 1 species
UACGUAGGCAGCAAACGUUGUUCGGAAUCACUGGGCGUAAAGGGCGUGUAGGCGGCUGGAUAAGUGGGAUGUUAAAUCCCCCGGCUCAACCGGGGACCUGCAUCUCAUACUGUUCAGCUCGAGCACAUCAGAGGAGACUGGAAUUCCCGGUGUAGCGGUGAAAUGCGUAGAGAUCGGGAAGAACAUCGGUGGCGAAAGCGCUCUACUGGACGGUAUCUGACACUGAGGGACGAAAGCUAGGGGAGCGAAUGGG